rnacentral:rRNA from 1 species
UACGAGGGGGGCAAGCGUUGUUCGGAAUUAUUGGGCGUAAAGGGCGCGUAGGCGGUGCGGUAAGUCUGAUGUGAAAUCUCCGGGCUCAACUCGGAGUCUGCAUCAGAAACUGCCGUGCUUGAGUGUGGGAGAGGUGAGUGGAAUUCCCGGUGUAGCGGUGAAAUGCGCAGAUAUCGGGAGGAACACCGGUGGCGAAGGCGGUUCUACUGGGCCUUACCUGACGCUGAGGAGCGAAA